rnacentral:rRNA from 1 species
UAUUUUUAAAGGGCCGCGGUAUACUGACCGUGCGAAGGUAGCAUAAUCAUUAGUCUUUUAAUUGAAGGCUUGUAUGAAUGGUUGGACAAAAAGUAAUCUGUCUCAGUUAUAACAGUUGAACUUAACUUUUAAGUGAAAAGGCUUAAAUACUUUAAGGGGACGAUAAGACCCUAUAAAACUUAACAAUAAUUUGAUUAAAUUAUAAAUUGUUAGUAUAACUUGAUUUUAAUUAAUGUUUGUUGCGUUGGGGCGACGGGAAUAUAAUUAGUAACUGUUCUUAAAUAUUUUAUUAACAAGUAUAAUUGAAGAAUAAUUGAUCCUUUAUUAAAGAUUAAAAGAUUAAGUUACUUUAGGGAUAACAGCGUAAUCUUCUUUGAGAGUCCUCAUCGACAAGAAGGUUUGCGACCUCGAUGUUGAAUUAAGGUAUCCUUAUAAUGCAG